GCACACCGCCUGCUCCGGACACCGCACCUGCCGUGCCUCACACUCUGUAACCCAGACUGCACAACUAUCCAAUUCUAUCAUCAGAGAGAAAGAAAAGAAAAAGAAAAAGAAAAAGUUGAUUAGUAUAAUGUCACUGAUUUUAAAAUUUAACACAGAAGUUUGGGCUGACAUGCUUUCAGCUUUUUGGUAGUGGGAAAUACCUCACAAGUGAAGACCAUGCCACCAGAACUGCUGACAUAAAGUGCAAUUAUUCCAUACAGUAAUCACAUUAACAUGAAAUGCUAGUCAUCUGUUUUAAAGAUUGUUCAGAAAUAAAGUGUAAGGAUAAGCUUGUGCUCUCAGGAACAAGCAGGACAGCUUCUUCUCUCUAGGUUCAGUUCUGCUGUGAUACUGUUUGUGCUUGAGGAACUUUGAGCUGAAAAACUGCCAUUCUUCUCUUUUUAUGGAUCCGUUUCCUUGCCGACUGCAUUUUUAUCCAUUUGGCUGGAUUGAGAGAUAUUUUAUCUACAAAUGCUGAAAAACUGACUGGAGCAACGAAAUGACAAAAGACAUGGAAGAAAAAGAUGUUAGCAGCAGGUGCAUUGACCACUGUGAGUUGCUGAUGACCAGUCCAUGCACUAAAUCAAUGCAAUCAAGCAUCUACAUUGAAAAAGGUACAUUUACAUACCUCAAUUUAAGUGUUGUUUCAUUAAAGAAAAUGAACUUAAAAACCCCACAAAGCUGAAAAAUGUAUACACAGUAUAGAAAGUUUGUUUGACUCUCGUUGUUCCUAUAACAAUGCUCCUAUCUUUUGGUUUUUUAAUUUUUCAAGUGUUCUCAAAUUCAUUUCCUCAGUAUCUGCUGCAUGAGCUGAGACAGAUAUUCAUAGAUAUAAUAAAUCUAUAGCCUGACAUUAUUAGGAUGUUUGCAGUAGUACAGUGAAAAAAUUGAAUGUUACUGUUUGUGUACAGAAGGAAAAAUAAAAAUACACUGCAAGGAUAUAAGCCACUACAACUGGGUGAGCAGUGUGAAAGGAAGAUGAAAUCAUACCAUUCAUGUUGCCAAGGUGGCAAUGAACAAACAUGUCACUCAGAAGAGCAGUUUCUGAAACUGUCUUUGAACAUGCCUUUCUUUUUCCUUGGCUUACUCUACUGCCUCUCCAAUACCCGGAUGAAAAUGGUUCAUUGGAAAAUAAUCACUUGAGUGUGCUGCCUAGUCUGGUGCAGUUGUGAGAAGAUGAUAAGGAAACACAGAGCUAAAGGAUUGACUGGCAUUUAGAUAGAUCUUCUAAGCAGGGAAGAGAUAGUAAAGGAGCCUUUUAUUGCUGAAAGUCAAAGUUCAACAUCUACAGCAUUUUUGUUGUUGCAUUCUGCCCACCAAGAGGAGCCAGUACAUCUGCUGGUUACUCCAGGACCCUGUCCCCACGGUCUCUUCAACAGAAAACUACAAGAAGCUGUAAGUCUGGCAACAAUCAGGAAGAGAAGUUCUGAAAAUGGGAUGAAAAUACUUUGGCACUCUGGAUUUCUACUGGGAAAUUUAGACUACAUCCAAUUUUUGAAAUCACAGAGCUGCAGUCAUCUGGGAGGCAACUGAUAGAGAUGAAUGUGUCAGAAGCACAAUGAUGAAAAUAUAGAGAGGGUGCCACAUAGACAAAGGACAGGACACCAGGAGAGCUUUGUUUUUAAAACAUCUUUUGAGGCCCAGAAAUAAGGGAACUGUGGAAAGAAAGUGAAUGGAUCAAGUCCUUAAAUAUUGCUUUUUAAGGGCUUUAAGCAUCUUAAGUAUCUACAAAGCUAAGAGAUGAGUGAGUACAAAUCAAGCACCAAAGCCACCACCAAAGCCACUUUAGAGCAGAAGCAUUUUUAUUGUCAUUCUUAUUAAUGCUAAUUAUUGUGAAAAGUAAAGAAAAUAAAUAACAAAACAACCAAAAAACAAUUACUGAUUUAAAGCUGGUUUUGGCCAAUUGUACCUGUCUUUCUCCACUCACAGUGCUGUAAAAGGGAAAGGAUUUAUUGGCUAGACCCUUCAAGACCUCUUUCUGUUUCACAUGCAGCUUAACUUUGGGGGUAGAAACAGGUCAGGAAUAGAUAAGCAGGGAUAGGCAUCAAACUUGGCUUGUUGCUGCUCUCUCUGCCUAGACUCGAUGCCUCUCAUUCUGAUUCUGAGAUACUUCAAAUUCAGAGGAAAGGUCUUUUCUAAUGCAAACUCUUUUCUCUUCCUCCCCUUCUCACUUUUACCUUCACAUAUUUCUGUGUGAUCAAUCAUUGAGAGAAAAUAAGGGCUUUGCAUUUUGAUCACAAGGACACAAGAAAAAGAAAAGAAACACAGCCCCAGAAGGUUUUAUUUUAUUUUGCCCCAAAUGAAAUUCUAAGUUCUUGUGAGACUGUACCUUAUGACUUAGUGCUACUUCUUUUACUUGAAGGUAAACUUUAUAUUGUUGAUGUGGGAAUACCUGUUACAUAGAAAACAGGAAAAAAUUGACCCAGAACACAAGAGCAAAAUAGCACAAGAACCUUAGAAAGAUCAAUAUGGAAACUGGAAGAAAAAGAAGACCUUGCAAUUUGAGACAGAAAACCUCCAGAUAUCUGUGUUAUACAGAGCAAAUGCAGCACCAUUAGCAUAAGAGUGAAAACAAGGCCGCAGAAGUGAAGUCUGCUACAGAUCGUUUUAGAUAUUUGGGAAUCCUUGGGAUUGACCUGCAAUAUGAGAAAGUUCACUUUUGUGAAAAAUGGAAAGAACUCAGCACUUUCUUCACGUGAGGUUGGAAGGGAAACAUAACAUUAGAACAGCCAGUACUGUGUUUGUGGCUCUAGAUUUGUUUCUAUAUAUUUUAUAGUCUUUGCACUUUAUAUCUCCAUCUCCUUGAUGCCUUUGAUUCUUUAAAUCAAUGACAAAAAGUUCCAAGAGAGUAAAUCUCAAGUAAUUUUAUAAUUCAUGUUCAUUAAAAGACUUAUGACAGAAAAACAGUCUUUAUAUGAUACUCAGCGGAACAAGUUAGACAGGAAUUAUUGUAAAAGAAAUGUUUAAUUUCUGUAGUGCUGAAUAAACAUUACUGUAAUGCUUCUCAUGUUUUCAGAAGCUGAACUCCCUUUCUCCCUAUAAUUCUAUUCCUGGAUGGCUAUAAUGCAGUAAUUUUCAAAUAUAGCAAAUUAUAUCACAGGUUUUGAAACACGAAAUAGUCCAAAUGAGACUAGAGAUCCAAGGCAGGUUGUCACUGAGGUCAAUGUAGACAGUCCUACUCAGCUGUGAAUAAAACCCUUGGGAAAGAUCACUGUAUUAAUUUCCAUUCCUAUUAUAGCCUAAGGAAAGAAUACAAAUCUGCAGAGGAAAAAUGCUAAAUGUCUUAAUCUUUAGGGUUUUCUUAUUCCCAGGUAUUUUCAAGUACUUUUUUCACAAAAUGUCUCUAGCUCUAUUUGUUCAGUCUUGGAGGUCACUGAUUCUUGGUUUAUCUUGGUUUCUCUUGGUUUAUCUUGCAUAGUUCUUGAACUAUGCACAAGAAGCAUUAGAGAUAGUAGGUGAUUAGGGAGAUACUGAGUUUGUUCAUCAAUUCAGUUUUCUCAGAUUCACAUAGCUCUGCACAAACAUGAUUCUGAGAUUCAUGGCAGACAAUUUAGCAGAGUAUCAUUGCAGGCUCUUCAUAUACUGUUCCUCCCUUCCUGCCACACUGAGUACUCUCUGAAGAACUCACAGAGUAUUUGUUCUACACAAGGCUCAAUAUCAUUCCCAGACAGCCUUUACAGAGCUACAGCUACAGGCCACCCAUCUUGUUUCAAGUGCUUUUCCUGAAGAUUUGGGGUUCAAAAGUUUUGAACUGAUUAAAGAUCUCUCUGUGGUGGUUUGUUUUUUGUGGGUGUUUUUCAGUUUGUUGUGGUGGUUUUAUUUUUUUUUUUAAUAAGUGCACCAAAGAAGCAAAUAUCUUUUGUUCAAAGAAAUGUUAAUAUUUUUGAUAUUUGUUUUUUUACCAGCAACUGUCAGAACAGUGCCAUUUUAUCUGAUCCUUAAAAAGCCAGGCUGAGUACUGCCAAAUAAGAAUGAUCAGGAAAAAUAUUCAAUAUGACAAUGGAGAGAGAAUAAGGGUGAACAUGACUGCUUUAUGGUAUAAAGCUGUCAGCAAAGGACUGCCAGUAAAAAUAUGUUCCUCUUUUAAAGGCUUUUCAAAUUUUGGAGAUUACGCAGAGAGAAGUAUGGGAGUAAAGGCUCCUAGCUAGUUUUGGAAAGUUCAGUCAAAUGGAUGAAUGGAUCACUGGGAUGCCCCGGCUAUUAUGCAGCAGUAUGGUACAAACUAUAUGGGAGGAAACAUUUAUCUUGCCAGUGGCUGAAUUCGACAUAGAAAUAUGUCCAGUUCUUUGUACUGCACUAAUUUAGCCUACUUCU